AUGAAGAAUUCUGAGCAAACAGCAAGGAAAAGGAACAAAGCUGAAGAUCCUAAUUGCGGCCAGGUUAUUAUAAUUGAAAGCCCCAAAAGACACUGUUCAGGUUUAGGCAAAAAAGCCAAGCCCCCAAAAUUAAAAUAUUUGGUAAAAGAAACCAAUUCAGAUCUGCCAGAUCCAAAGAAGAAACAGAGUGACUCUGAAUCAAAGAAGGAAGCACGGGCAAGCUCUCCCGUGGUUAUAGAAAGCAGCUCAGAUUUAGAAUUAAGAGACACCAAGAAAAGAAAUAAGGCGUUCAAAAAAAAGAAAGACCGAAAGCUUUUUUGUAUACAAAUCCAAAACUCCGAUGGUUUGGAUGAAGGGCAGCCUGGUACUGAUUUUCAUGUGAGUAAGAAAGGCGAAAAGGCUGUUCUUGAAGUUGGCAGGCAAGAUGAAGAAUCGGUGAUGAAAAGGAAAAAGAAGAAAAAGGAAAAACGAAAAGACAAACCUGCUUGCCUUGAGCUUUUACCCAGUGGUGACAGUGAAGAGGACGUGAAGCAGAUCUCUGCAGAACUAAAACCCAGUUGCCAAGAAAUGCCCUCCGGUCAGAAAAAGAGUAGGACCCUUGAGCAGAAAGUUGUGGGUGACAAAGUCGAGAAGAAAUACUUUGAGUACUACAAAAAAUACCUUGAGAACAUUUCAAAAAAAGACAUUGCCAGCUGCAAGUGCGAAGAUGCCCAAAGUAAGGAUGGACCUAUGCAACGACGGAACGAUUUGGCCCCUAGAUCAGAAGAAGACAGUGAAGCCAUCCAUAAGAAGAAAAAGAACAAGAAGAAGCUGAAUAAAAUAAGUCCUGCUUCUCUUUCCUGCUUAGCCAAGAUCCAGGAAAACCACUGCAAUAUGAUGAGUGAAUAUAGUCUAAAAUGCAGAUCUGAGAAAGAUGCAGCGGUUGGCAAGGCUAAUAAAGCUGCAAAGAAGAAGGCAAAAAGACAAGCCGGAGAUGCAAGCCGUUUUUCAGAAGCUGGCCAAGACAUCUCAUGGAAGGUGGGAGCACCAGGAGGAAAGGGAAAGAGAAAGAAAGCCAAGAAACACAAAGUGAAACGAGAUGACCCGGAUGGAUUUGAGGGCAGCCAAGUACAGCAGGUCAAGAAAAAGAAGAAAAAGAAGGAAACUGAAAACUCUUGGGAUGGAAGGAAGAAAGCAAAGAUGAAACCGGAAACUAAGGUAUACUUGGAGAGGGCUGGUAGUUUUUUUUUUUUUUUAAUUUAUGGGCUAGAUCUGAAC
rnacentral:lncRNA from 1 species